rnacentral:SRP_RNA from 1 species
GCCCGGAGGGGCUGUCCGCCGUAUUUGCCGGGGGAACCGGCCCAGGCCCGGAAGGGAGCAGGCUAACCCCGGACGUUCGGCGCUUCCAGGGGUGCG